rnacentral:rRNA from 1 species
CACGUAGGAGGCGAGCGUUGUCCGGAAUCAUUGGGCGUAAAGAGCGCGCAGGCGGCCCGGCAAGUCGGGUGUGAAAUCCCGGGGCUCAACCCCGGGACUGCAUUCGAUACUGCCGGGCUAGAGGUAGGUAGGGGAGAUCGGAAUUCCUGGUGUAGCGGUGAAAUGCGAAGAUAUCAGGAGGAACACCGGUGGCGAAGGCGGAUCUCUGGGCCUUACCUGACGCUCAGGCGCGAAAGCUAGGGGAGCGAACAGG